GCCUGGCUGGCUUAGAUGGUGGAGCAUGUGACUCUCAAUCUUGGGGUCAUGGGUUCAAGCCCCACAUUGGGCA
rnacentral:tRNA from 1 species